GGGCGAAUAGCUCAGAUGGUGAGAGCGCCUGCCUUACAAGCAGGAGGUCAGAGGUUCGAAUCCUCUUUCGCCCA
rnacentral:tRNA from 2 species